rnacentral:tRNA from 1 species
AAUGAAUUGCCUGAUAAAAGGAUUACUUUGAUAGAGUAAAUCAUAUAAUAAAUAUUAUAUUCAUUA